AGACAUUAGCCCCUGGGAGGUGGAAGACAUUAGCCCCUGGGCGCUGGGCGGUGGAAGACAUUAGCACCUGGGCGGUGGAAGACAUUAGCCCCUGGGCGCUGGGCGACAUUAGCCCCUGGGCGGUGGAAGACAUUAGCCCCUGGGCGCUGGUCGUCUUCUAAGUAUGAAUGAAUGUGAAGGCAGAGGGAAUAACAGGGGUGAUGUUAUGGUACACACAGUGUUGGCUUUGAGGGCAGAGAAAAUAACUCUCUCUCUUCUUCAAAGGAACGGGCAACCAUCCAAGAGUUUGGGGGAUGAAUUCCUCCAGAUAAAUGGUUCUCAGUUGAUUCUCAGAACCUUUAAAAAAAAUGUUUUUGUUGUUUUUGCUUCUGGGAUGAAAGAACCCAUUGAGAAUAUCUCUGUUCUUGCAACAGCAAGAUAACUUACACCACACAGUUUUCAAACUUAAUCUUUCUUAUGUUGACAUCAAUUCUCCAAUGGACUAAAAUAGCCUUUUACUUUGAGUAUUUUUUUUUUACGACAUAAUAAUAGUUAUCCUCAGUAAAUCUCCUUAAUGUUUUCACACCUCAUCUUCCUCCAUAUAGAUGUUUUGUAAUCGUUAAAUGAAUGGCCAUUCAACAACAUGGUAUUUUUUUCCGGAAGCACUUCUCUGUUGAACUACAUGAAAAUCUAAUUAAAUCACAAAUAUUUUUUGAACUUGAAAAUCGAAUCAAGUCACUGAUAUAUAUUUUUUGUACUAGAUGAAAAUGGUUAUCCUCACUGUGUUGGGUUUGUCCUCAUAACAAAUUGUUAACAGAAACUAUUUUCUGUCAAAAAUUGUCCAGUGUUCCUGGGUUUGAAAUGGCCUCUAUGUAAAUGACACAGCUCCAUUUGUAAGCGAAUCACAUGUAGCUUUAUUCAAAUGUCCAUUUUGUGUUUUCUUAUUGCAGAAUAGAACACAUUGGCCUUGUUUAGCUAACAGGACAAACACACACUAAACUUGUUCUAAUCUACAAUAUGUUUUUUUAAUAAGCAGAAAAAUCAAGGACUUAUUUGCACUGUUUGUUUUGCUGAUGUUGAAUGUUUUGCAUUGCUGAUAUUAAUGGUCCACUGAGAG
ensembl:lncRNA